rnacentral:misc_RNA from 1 species
UAGAGUAUCCUACUCUCUACCCUUUGUGAACUAUUAUACCCUGUUGCCUCGGCGGCGCCCUCUCGGGGGUGCCCGCCGGACUAUCAGAAUCUCUGUUUUCGAACCCGACGAUACUUCUGAGUGUUCUUAGCGAACUGUCA